UGUUAAGGAAAGCUGUGAGCGCACCUCUAUCCGACUGACUUCAGCCUACCUCGACCUAGUCGCUCCUCCUCAGCCAGGCUUGGCCAGGCUGCACAGAUUAGACUGGGUCAAGCCUCGCUUAAUCAGUUAUCCUGGAUUUACAAAUUCUCCUUUUGUGAAACAGCCCCCUGGUCUUGAAAUGAUGUGUGUGU